CCUUUUUUAUAUAUUAUCCCUUAUUUUUCUUCCUAAUUUUGGAUUUAAAAUGGCUAAACCUAUUAAAAGUAGUAUUCGUGGCAUGUCAUUUACCAUGAUUAAGAAUUAUGAUCGGUUAAAAAGUGAAUUGGACAAGUAUUUGUAGAAAAGCAACGAAUUUUCGAAGAAAUUGUUUCGUUAGCAGAUGGUUUAUACGAACCUAAAAAAAAUAUUAAGGAAAUAAUUCAAGAUCUCGAAAGGAUUGAUAAUGAUGAUUUAAUCCACCAUGAAAAAGUAUAUCUGGAAAGAAUCUCCAAUAUGACAGGUGUCUACAUAUUAACUAUUACAAAACAAAUGUUUUAUGAUAAACAAUUUUUGUUACAUUCAAUAUUACAAGGACAAUGACAUUCUUAUUUUCCAGAAGUAUCUGUAAGAACUUUAAAAAGAAUAAAAAAGAGGGUGCUGUCAACAAAGGUCUGUGUGUUACUCAAAGUAAUGAUAGUGAUUAUGACGAUUUAUGCAUUGAAUUUCUUGACUCUGAUUUUGAUUAUGAAUCUGCUUAAAUAUAUUAUUUUUAAAUAA
rnacentral:lncRNA from 1 species